rnacentral:lncRNA from 1 species
CGGGAUGGGAGUCUAUGUCUAGACGUUCAAAUGAUGGAAGAAGUGCAUGUGUAGGUGGACUUAUAGAACUAUGUAAAUAUCUCUGAGAUUUGGGAUAUUGAGGACUCCUUUUUCUGGUCCCUGCUUACAGCUUGACACAACAUCAGCUCUAGUAGGCAGGCUGUCUACGGAAAUUCUGUUUCACAUACUUGAGCACACAUUCCGAAAGCCCCCCUGGAGAUCUCCCUUGAAAAUGUUCAAAGAGGAAUUUUGAAAAGUUUGGAGUGAUGAGUGGAAGAUUGAACAAGUGUUUGCAAGCAUGUUCCCAGUAAAGAGAGAAGACAUUGUUUGCUAACUAGUGUAAGUACAUUGGGGAGAAAACUGCAGUUUUGUGACCGUGGGGAAAGACUGGGAACGUUCAAGAGCUGAAACAGGUUUGUUUCUUAUUUGUUCUUUCCCUGUGUAAGAAGGUAAUGUUGGGGAGACUUUGAAAACUGCAG